rnacentral:tRNA from 1 species
GACGAGGUGGCCGAGUGGUUAAGGCGAUGGACUGCUAAUUCAUUGUUCUCUGCACGCAUGGGUUCAAAUCCCAUCUUCGUCA